ACAUGCUGACGUGAAAAAUCUUCUAUUAUAGGGGAAAUCUCUCACAUUUAGAACCCCUUUCAUGUCUGGCUUCUCUAUAAAUUAGUAUCUCAUCAACUUCUGGGAGGAGGCAGACCUUUUCAGCCUUAUAAUAUUGGCCUCCCGUUGCUGCUGAGGUGAAGAACCUCAUUAACAAGUUUCUCCGGUAAUUCUUUUGUAGUCUGGAAGUGUCUCAUGUGCAGUAUUGGUUGACAUCCAACAUCGGCAACUGAUUUUCCGCUGGGAGUUUGCAGUUUAAAUCGCUCAGCCUUGUAUGCUACAAUGGCAUUUUUCUCAUCUGGCAGGUGCUGGCAAACUUUUAUAAGGGAAUUAAGAGAGUUCAUCUUCA
rnacentral:misc_RNA from 1 species